GGGGAUAGCCUUUCGAAAGAAAGAUUAAUACCCGAUGUCAUAGUCCUACCGCAUGAUGGGAUUAUUAAAGAAUUUCGGUAUGGGAUGGGGAUGCGUUCCAUUAGUUAGUUGGUGGGGUAACGGCCCACCAAGACGACGAUGGAUAGGGGUUCUGAGAGGAAGGUCCCCCACAUUGGAACUGAGACACGGUCCAAACUCCUACGGGAGGCAGCAGUGAGGAAUAUUGGUCAAUGGACGAGAGUCUGAACCAGCCAAGUAGCGUGAAGGAUGACUGCCCUAUGGGUUGUAAACUUCUUUUAUAUGGGAAUAAAAUGUUCCACGUGUGGGAUUUUGUAUGUACCAUAUGAAUAAGGAUCGGCUAACUCCGUGCCAGCAGCCGCGGUAAUACGGAGGAUCCGAGCGUUAUCCGGAUUUAUUGGGUUUAAAGGGAGCGUAGGUGGAUUGUUAAGUCAGUUGUGAAAGUUUGCGGCUCAACCGUAAAAUUGCAGUUGAAACUGGCAGUCUUGAGUACAGUAGAGGUGGGCGGAAUUCGUGGUGUAGCGGUGAAAUGCUUAGAUAUCACGAAGAACUCCGAUUGCGAAGGCAGCUCACUGGACUGCAACUGACACUGAGGCUCGAAAGUGUGGGUAUCAAACAGGAUUAGAUACCCUGGUAGUCCACACAGUAAACG
rnacentral:rRNA from 1 species